CCGCCCGAGAGGCGCUGCAACGGACGUCUCACGUCCGCCACGCUCGGCCGGGUUCCAUGACGCAAGGGCGCCUCCUGAGA
rnacentral:ncRNA from 2 species